CGCGUAGGCGGGUUUGCAAGUCCGGGGUGAAAUCCCACAGCUCAACUGUGGAACUGCCUCGGAUACUGUGAGUCUCGAGGGUGGCAGGGGUAUGCGGAACUAUCGGUGGAGCGGUGAAAUGCGUUGAUAUCGAUAGGAACUCCGGUGGCGAAGGCGGCAUACUGGUCCACUUCUGACGCUGAGGCGCGAAAGCCAGGGAGGCAAACG
rnacentral:rRNA from 1 species